rnacentral:rRNA from 1 species
AAACCAACAGGGAUUGCCCCAGUAACGGCGAGUGAAGCGGCAACAGCUCAAAUUUGAAAUCUGGCCCCCCUCCGCGGGGACCCGAGUUGUAAUUUGCAGAGGAUGCUUCUGGCGCGGCGCCUUCCGAGUUCCCUGGAACGGGACGCCAUAGAGGGUGAGAGCCCCGUCUGGUUGGACGCCUAGCCUCUGUGAAGCACCUUCGACGAGUCGAGUAGUUUGGGAAUGCUGCUCAAAAUGGGAGGUAUAUGUCUUCUAAAGCUAAAUACCGGCCAGAGACCGAUAGCGCACAAGUAGAGUGAUCGAAAGAUGAAAAGCACUUUGAAAAGAGGGUUAAACAGUACGUGAAAUUGUUGAAAGGGAAGCGCUCAUGACCAGACUUGGGCCCCGCGCAUCACCCGGCGUUCUCGCCGGGGCACUUCGCAGGGCCCAGGCCAGCAUCAGUUCGCGGCGGGGGACAAAGGCUUCGGGAACGUAGCUCCCUCGGGAGUGUUACAGCCCGCUGCGCAAUGCCCUGCCGCGGACUGAGGUUCGCGCUUCCGCAAGGAUGCUGGCGUAAUGGUCAUCAGCGAC